rnacentral:rRNA from 1 species
UAAAAAAUUUUAAGUAAGCCCUGCCCGGUGAAAUAAUUUUAUGUUAAACGGCCGCAGUAUUUUAACUGUGCUAAGGUAGCAAAAUCAAUAGGCCUUUAAUUGGGGUCUGGAAUGAAAGGGUUAGUGUGCAACAGCUAUAUAUUAGACUACUAGAUUGAAUUUAAUAAUAUGGUGAAAAUACCAGUAAUAUUAAAAAAGACGAGAAGACCCUGGGAAUUCUCAUCUUGUGUGUGUUUGUUGGGGCAACGCGGAAAGAAAACCUCCUAGAAUUUAAUAUCAUCUCAAUAUUUUUAUAUUGAAAAAAUUACCCCAGGGAUAACAGCAUAAUAUAUAUAAUAUGUUUAUGACCUCGAUGUUGGACUAAGAAGCCUAUUAAUCAGUAAUUAAUAGUAGUGGCUCUGUUCGAGCGUUAGAAAUCUU